rnacentral:rRNA from 1 species
AGCGAAUGCUGGCGGCAUGCUUAACACAUGCAAGUCGCACGCCCAGCAAUGGGAGUGGCGGACGGGUGAGUAACGCGUAGGAAUGUGUCUAGAGGUGGGGGACAACCCUGGGAAACUGGGGCUAAUACCGCAUAUGUCCCGAGGGACAAAGCCGCGAGGCGCCUUUGGAGCAGCCUGCGUCCGAUUAGGUAGUUGGUGGGGUAACGGCCUACCAAGCCUGCGAUCGGUAGCUGGUCUGAGAGGACGACCAGCCACACUGGGACUGAGACACGGCCCAGACUCCUACGGGAGGCAGCAGUGGGGAAUAUUGGACAAUGGGCGCAAGCCUGAUCCAGCAAUGCCGCGUGGGUGAAGAAGGUCUUCGGAUUGUAAAGCCCUUUCGUACGGGGACGAUGAUGACGGUACCCGUAGAAGAAGCCCGGCCUAACUUCGUG